CCGAGUUUACAACUCCCAAACCCCUGUGAACAUACCACUUGUUGCCUCGGCGAUCAGCCCGCUCCCGGUAAAACGGGACGGCCCGCCAGAGGACCCCUAAACUCUGUUUCUAUAUGUAACUUCUGAGUAAAACCAUAAAUAAAUCA
rnacentral:misc_RNA from 1 species